rnacentral:lncRNA from 1 species
CAGGGUCCUUGUGCCCUGAACAUAGCAUGGUGUGCCUACUGAUGAGCUCAUGCAAUGUUUGUUGGGGACAGUUCCCUGUUGUCUCCAAAACGGAGACACCAGGGAACUAAAUUGGUACAAUGGAACAGGACCAAAAAAUCAGCACUGUCCUGACAAAAUUGGGAUGGUUGGGAGGCCUGUGAUUUAGUGUUUAGUGAAUAGCUCCAAAAAAGAAAAGAAAUACUAAU